UUUCGAGUUGCCCGAAAUGGUGAGUGAGAGCGGUGAGAGCUAAACACCCGCAGGAGUGAGCCUCAUACCCGGUUCUAAUCUGUCGGACAAAACACGACUGGUCUUCGGAGCGUCGAUCUGAACCGGCGGACUCGGUACGUGACAUCUAAACACCCGCAGACAGCCGCUGACGGUCGUUGCCGGUGGAAAUGCCCAGAUUGUCAACUCGCGGAAGCCAUUCAUCGACUCUUCCAAAGGAGUGAAUUCUCCCAACCUCCAGGCCGUGCAUCAUACCCGGUUCAAAUCUUCCGGACACAACACAAACGGGCUUCGGAGCGUCCUCCUGAAACCGGCGAACUCGGUACGUGACAGCUAAACACCUGCAGACGGACGCCAAAGAGUUUCAACCGCGAGACGGAGUAAGUUCUCCCAACCUCCAGGCCGUGCAUCAGUCCCGGUUCAAAUCUUCCGGACACAACACGAACGGGCUUCGGAGCGUCCUCCUGAAACCGGCGAACUCGGUACGUGACAGCUAAACACCUGCAGACGGACGCCAAAGAAGUAAAUUCCCCAACCUCCAUCAUCGUGCAUCAUACCCGGUUCAAAUCUGCUGGACAAAACUUGACCGGGAAGAUGAGCUCCCGGUGGGCUUCCGACUAAGCUGCAACGUCGUCGGGAUGUGGACUUCCCCCGGAAGCUGCACGCUCAUCUCCCCGAAGCAGUCCAUCGGCGCCGCAUGGUGUCGAACGA